AUUGAACGCUGGCGGCGUGCCUAAUACAUGCAAGUAGAACGCAGUUGCGAACGGGUGAGUAACGCGUAGGUAACUGCCUCAUAGCGGGGGAAAACUAUUGGAAACGAUAGCUAAUACCGCAUACUGUGAGAUGGACCUGCGGUGUAUUAGCUAGUUGGGGAGGUAAAGGCUCACCAAGGCGACGAUACAUAGCCGACCUGAGCGGGUGAUCGGGCACCAUGGGACUGGGCCACGGCCCAGACUCCUGCGGGAGGCAGCCAUAGGGAAUCUUCGGCAAUGGACGGCAGUCUGACCGAGCACCGCCGGGUGAGUGAAGAAAGUUUUCGGAUCGUAAAGCUCUGUUGUUAGAGAAGCGUUAACUAACCAGAAAGGAACGGCUAACUACGUGCCAGCAGCCGCGGUAAUUC
rnacentral:rRNA from 1 species